rnacentral:piRNA from 1 species
GCCAAUGAGGUUUAUCCGAGGCG